rnacentral:rRNA from 1 species
CAUGCAAGUCGAGCGAACGGACGAGAAGCUUGCUUCUCUGAUGUUAGCGGCGGACGGGUGAGUAACACGUGGAUAACCUACCUAUAAGACUGGGAUAACUUCGGGAAACCGGAGCUAAUACCGGAUAAUAUUUUGAACCGCAUGGUUCAAAAGUGAAAGACGGUCUUGCUGUCACUUAUAGAUGGAUCCGCGCUGCAUUAGCUAGUUGGUAAGGUAACGGCUUACCAAGGCAACGAUGCAUAGCCGACCUGAGAGGGUGAUCGGCCACACUGGAACUGAGACACGGUCCAGACUCCUACGGGAGGCAGCAGUAGGGAAUCUUCCGCAAUGGGCGAAAGCCUGACGGAGCAACGCCGCGUGAGUGAUGAAGGUCUUCGGAUCGUAAAACUCUGUUAUUAGGGAAGAACAUAUGUGUAAGUAACUGUGCACAUCUUGACGGUACCUAAUCAGAAAGCCACGGCUAACUACGUGCCAGCAGCCGCGGUAAUACGUAGGUGGCAAGCGUUAUCCGGAAUUAUUGGGCGUAAAGCGCGCGUAGGCGGUUUUUUAAGUCUGAUGUGAAAGCCCACGGCUCAACCGUGGAGGGUCAUUGGAAACUGGAAAACUUGAGUGCAGAAGAGGAAAGUGGAAUUCCAUGUGUAGCGGUGAAAUGCGCAGAGAUAUGGAGGAACACCAGUGGCGAAGGCGACUUUCUGGUCUGUAACUGACGCUGAUGUGCGAAAGCGUGGGGAUCAAACAGGAUUAGAUACCCUGGUAGUCCACGCCGUAAACGAUGAGUGCUAAGUGUUAGGGGGUUUCCGCCCCUUAGUGCUGCAGCUAACGCAUUAAGCACUCCGCCUGGGGAGUACGACCGCAAGGUUGAAACUCAAAGGAAUUGACGGGGACCCGCACAAGCGGUGGAGCAUGUGGUUUAAUUCGAAGCAACGCGAAGAACCUUACCAAAUCUUGACAUCCUUUGACAACUCUAGAGAUAGAGCCUUCCCCUUCGGGGGACAAAGUGACAGGUGGUGCAUGGUUGUCGUCAGCUCGUGUCGUGAGAUGUUGGGUUAAGUCCCGCAACGAGCGCAACCCUUAAGCUUAGUUGCCAUCAUUAAGUUGGGCACUCUAAGUUGACUGCCGGUGACAAACCGGAGGAAGGUGGGGAUGACGUCAAAUCAUCAUGCCCCUUAUGAUUUGGGCUACACACGUGCUACAAUGGACAAUACAAAGGGCAGCGAAACCGCGAGGUCAAGCAAAUCCCAUAAAGUUGUUCUCAGUUCGGAUUGUAGUCUGCAACUCGACUACAUGAAGCUGGAAUCGCUAGUAAUCGUAGAUCAGCAUGCUACGGUGAAUACGUUCCCGGGUCUUGUACACACCGCCCGUCACACCACGAGAGUUUGUAACACCCGAAGCCGGUGGAGUAACCUUUUAGGAGCUAGCCGUCGAA